rnacentral:rRNA from 1 species
CACGUAGGGUGCGAGCGUUGUCCGGAAUUAUUGGGCGUAAAGAGCUCGUAGGCGGUGUGUCGCGUCGGCCGUGAAAACUUGCAGCUCAACUGUGGGCGUGCGGUCGAUACGGGCAUCACUGGAGUUCGGCAGGGGAGACUGGAAUUCCUGGUGUAGCGGUGAAAUGCGCAGAUAUCAGGAGGAACACCGGUGGCGAAGGCGGGUCUCUGGGCCGGUACUGACGCUGAGGAGCGAAAGCGUGGGGAGCGAACAGG